rnacentral:rRNA from 1 species
AUUGAACGCUGGCGGCAUGCUUUACACAUGCAAGUCGAACGGCAGCACGGGUGCUUGCACCUGGUGGCGAGUGGCGGACGGGUGAGUAAUGCAUCGGAACGUGUCCUGAAGUGGGGGAUAACGCAUCGAAAGAUGUGCUAAUACCGCAUAUUCUCUGAGGAGGAAAGUAGGGGAUCGAAAGACCUUAUGCUUUUGGAGCGGCCGAUGUCUGAUUAGCUAGUUGGUAGGGUAAUGGCUUACCAAGGCGACGAUCAGUAGUUGGUCUGAGAGGACGGCCAGCCACACUGGGACUGAGACACGGCCCAGACUCCUACGGGAGGCAGCAGUGGGGAAUUUUGGACAAUGGGCGCAAGCCUGAUCCAGCAAUGCCGCGUGAGUGAAGAAGGCC